AACGAACGUUAGCGGCGCGCUUAACACAUGCAAGUCGAACGGUAACAGGCCUUCGGGUGCUGACGAGUGGCGAACGGGUGAGUAAUGCAUCGGAACGUGCCCAAUCGUGGGGGAUAACGUAGCGAAAGUUACGCUAAUACCGCAUAAGCCCUGAGGGGGAAAGUGGGGGACCGCAAGGCCUCACGCGAAUGGAGCGGCCGAUGUCAGAUUAGCUAGUUGGUGGGGUAAAGGCCCACCAAGGCGACGAUCUGUAGCGCGUCUGAGAGGAUGAUCCGCCACACUGGGACUGAGACACGGCCCAGACUCCUACGGGAGGCAGCAGUGGGGAAUUUUGGACAAUGGGCGCAAGCCUGAUCCAGCCAUGCCGCGUGCGGGACGAAGGCCUCGG
rnacentral:rRNA from 1 species